UACGAAGGUCCCAAGCGUUGUUCGGAAUCACUGGGCGUAAAGGGUGCGUAGGUGGUUAGAUAAGUUGGAUGUGAAAUACUCGGGCUCAACCUGGGGGCGGCAUACAAUACUGUUUAACUAGAGUCUUGUAGAGGAAAGUAGAAUUUCCGGUGUAGCGGUGAAAUGCGUAGAUAUCGGAAGGAAUACCAAUGGCGAAGGCAACUUUCUGGACAAGGACUGACACUGAGGCACGAAAGCGUGGGGAGCAAACAGG
rnacentral:rRNA from 1 species